GAAGGUAUAGCUCAAGGUAGAGUGCAUGCUUAGCAUGCACGAGGUCCUGGGUUCAAUCCCUAGUACCUCCU
rfam:Camelus ferus unplaced genomic scaffold scaffold2098, whole genome shotgun sequence.